rnacentral:rRNA from 1 species
AGAAUCAACGCUGGCGGCGUGCCUAACACAUGCAAGUCGAACGAGAAAGUGGAGCAAUCCAUGAGUACAGUGGCGCACGGGUGAGUAACACGUGACUAACCUACCCUUGAGUGGGGAAUAACCUGGAGAAAUCUAGGCUAAUACCGCAUAACACCUACGGGUCAAAGGAGCAAUUCGCUUAAGGAGGGGGUCGCGGCAGAUUAGCUAGUUGGCGGGGUAAUGGCCCACCAAGGCAGUGAUCUGUAUCCGGCCUGAGAGGGCGCACGGACACACUGGAACUGAAACACGGUCCAGACUCCUACGGGAGGCAGCAGUGGGAAUUUUGCGCAAUGGGGAAACCCUGACGCAGCAACGCCGCGUGGAGGAUGAAGUCCCUUGGGACGUAAACUCCUUUCGACCGGGAAGAUAAGUGACGGUACCGGAAGAAGAGCCCCGGCUAACUUCGUGCCAGCAGCCGC